AUUGGGGUAAAAAGAGAUCAAUUGACUUAGGGUAAAAAAUGUUCAACCCUUAGGAUAAAACUAAAUCUGCUUCGUUUUACCUCAAAAACUUUUUACCGUAGGUAAAAAGAAUCUUCUUGGGGGUAUAAAAAGAACCAAAUUUAAAUUUAUCCUAAGGGUUGAUGUCUUUUUACCCCAAGAUUGGUCUCUUUUUACCCCAAA
rnacentral:pre_miRNA from 1 species